UUGGAGCUCCUUGGGGAGAGCACACUGAGAAGGAGCAAGAGGAGGAGGGGCAAAAGUCGCCCCCAGCCCAGCCUGUAAUCUGCAAAAGCCACAUUUCGCAUCUGGCUUUGCAAUGGUAUCUUUUCAUAAAGGAGCCUGGGAAUAAUGCAAUCAGCUCACUUUUCAGUGUGGAAGACUUCAUAUUUUGAAAUGAAAGGAGAAGCGCAUCAGGGAAGGACAGCAGAGCAAGAAGAAGGUUUUAAAAACGGGGUUCAGUUUGUAAAUCCCUGCAAACCUAAGCUUCCUAUGUACGGGGGAUGCACUAGAAAUAAUAUGUUACGACUAAACCAUAUUUUUUCAAAAACACAUGAAGAACCUCAAAAUAAGUAUUUUUCCUUGUUAGGGAACAUAACAAAUAAGCAUUUUACAAAAAAAAAAAAAAAACCUCAACAUUUACUUCUAGAAUGCUGGAGGGAUAAGAAAUCAUUCAGAAAUUCUGGACGUUAUACUUGAACCAUUGUUCAGUUUUAAAGAGCUGAUUUAUUUUCCCAGGCCUUUCUUGAAGCAGAGAGACCAGAACACUCAUGUUCAACCUUCCUUCCUUCCUUCCUUCCUUCCUUCCUUCCUUCCUUCCUUCCUUCCUUCCUUCCUUCCUUCCUUCCUUCCUUCCUUCCUUCCUUCCUUCUCCUGCUAGUCUCCCACCAAAGGUCUAAUCAGGUCUGAGUCUCUUAACUUUUUCUUGAUCAGGCAAGAACAGCAAAUGUUGCCACUUGCAGUGACAUUCCAUACUUACAAAUAGUUAAGCCGGGUCUUCCAGAUGCACUUCAAAGUACCAACAAGGCUCAGAGAACCUCAAACAAAGACCAGAACGAGGUGGGCUUCCUUCAUGAUCUCUGAAAUGACUCUAUGGAAAUUUAUCUUAGGCCAGCUCGAUUCAAACCUGGUGUUGCUAGCUUUGGCUGGCAAUAGCAGCGGCAGCAGAAGAGGGGUCCUCCCACGGCCACCUUCUUUAAAAAGAAAUUUGCAUGUAGAAUUUCCUGUGGGCCAACCAGGAGUCCCACCAACCGAAUGAGCAAAACCAGCUUUCAGCAGAAGACAACAUAUAUAACUCAGGACUGAACUGUGGAAUUCCUUGACACUCUCUGAGCUUGUUGAUUGCAGAUGUUUCAUUGCCCGACUAGGUAACAUCAUUAGUAAACAGCACUGAUGCUGCUGUUAGCUGUGUAAUGAAAUGCCCACAAGCAAACAACCAAGCUCUGAGAGCAUUGAGGACCACCAGCUUUAUCUACUGAGAAUGCCUCCCUGUAGUGGCUCAGAGUUUAUCUCUCCAAACUGAGUGCAUUUUCCCUUCCCCUUGAGGGAGGGGAGUGUGUUCAAAAGAGGCAAACAACAUAGACGAUAGUUGUGAUGCUCCAAGAAUUGCAGGAUCCUGCCAGCUGGGAAGCUACAGCCUAUGAAAUAUGCAUCUCCAUGAACAAAGUUCACCAAGCAACUGAGAACAGAGGACCCAAACUCAAACGUCCGCAGAAGUCUCCAGCUGACUUCUCUUUUAGGCAAUACAUCAAAACUAUUUUAUUCUCUCACCCUGCCGGCUAGAAUAAUACCGUAAACUCUA